rnacentral:rRNA from 1 species
UUGCCAGCCCGCUCAGAAACUUAAAGGAAGUUGACGGGGGCCCGGCACAAGCGGAGGAGCAUGUGGUUUAAUUCGAUGAUACGCGAGGAACCUUACCUGGGCUCGAACGUAAGAUGACUGUAGGUGAAAGCUUACAUCUCUUCGGAGCAUUUUACGAGGUGCUGCAUGGUUGUCGUCAGCUCGUGCCGUGAGGUGUCGGGUUAAGUCCCAUAACGAGCGCAACCCCUACCUUUAGUUGCCAUCAGGUAAUGCGGGGGACUCUAAAGGAACUGCCUACGCAAGUAGUGAGGAAGGCGGGGAUGACGUCAAAUCAGCACGGCCCUUACGUCCAGGGCUACACACGUGCUACAAUGGCCGAUACAGAGGGCAGCUACCUGGUGACAGGAUGCAAAUCUCCAAAGUCGGUCUCAGUUCGGAUCGGAGUCUGCAACCCGACUCCGUGAAGUUGGAUUCGCUAGUAAUCGCGCAUCAGCCAUGGCGCGGUGAAUACGUUCCCGGGCCUU